rnacentral:ncRNA from 1 species
AAGAGCCUUAUGAAUUGAGAGGUUCACGUACGGUUCUUUGAGAAGUUAGGCUGAGAUUCUUCUAGCUUUCUCUACGAUGGGCUGGGGUUUUAUUUGAC